CAACCUCAACUCAUAUGGGACUACCCCCUGAAUUUAAGCAUAUUAAUUAGGGGAGGAAAAGAAACUAACAAGGAUUUUCUUAGUAGCGGCGAGCGAAAAGAAAUCAGUUCAGCACUAAGUCACUUUGUCUAUAUGGCAAAUGUGAGAUGCAGUGUACGGAACAUCAACAUUCUAGUAUGAGAAGUUAACGAUUUAAGUCCUUCUUAAAUGAGGCCAUUUACCCAUAGAGGGUGCCAGGCCCGUAUAACGUUAAUGAUUACUAGAUGGUGUUUCCAAAGAGUCGUGUUGCUUGAUAGUGCAGCACUAAGUGGGUGGUAAACUCCAUCUAAAACUAAAUAUAACCAUGAGACCGAUAGUAAACAAGUACCGUGAGGGAAAGUUGAAAAGAACUCUGAAUAGAGAGUUAAAUAGUACGUGAAACUGCUUAGAGGUUAAGCCCGAUGAACCUGAAUAUCCGUUAUGGAAAAUUCAUCAUUAGAAUUGUAAUAUUUUAAACAAUAUUAUAAUAAUAGUGUGCAUUUUUUCCAUAUAAGGACAUUGUAAUCUAUUAGCAUAAAUAUUUAUCAUAAAAUUAUGUCUGAUUGCUUAUUUGAAUUAUAUGCUUGGCAUUUUAACAUAAAAUAAAAGAUAUAAAUUUGAUAAAGUGCUGAUAGAUUUAUAUGAUUACAGUGCGUUAAUUUUUCGGAAUUAUAUAAUGGCAUAAUUAUCAUUGA
rnacentral:ncRNA from 1 species